GAUGAACGCUGGCGGCGUGCCUAAUACAUGCAAGUCGAGCGAACAGACGAGGAGCUCGCUCCUCUGACGUUAGCGGCGGAUGGGUGAGUAACACGUGGAUAACCUACCUAUAAGACUGGGAUAACUUCGGGAAACCGGAGCUAAUACCGGAUAAUAUAUUGAACCGCAUGGUUCAUUAGUCAAAGACCGUUUUGCUGUCACUUAUAGAUGGAUCCGCGUCGCAUUAGCUAGUUGGUAAGGUAACGGCUUACCAAGGCAACGAUGCGUAGCCGACCUGAGAGGGUGAUCGGCCACACUGGAACUGAGACACGGUCCAGACUCCUACGGGAGGCAGCAGUAGGGAAUCUUCCGCAAUGGGCGAAAGCCUGACGGAGCAACGCCGCGUGAGUGAUGAAGGUCUUCGGAUCGUAAAACUCUGUUAUUAGGGAAGAACAAAUGUGUAAGUAACUAUGCACGUCUUGACGGUACCUAAUCAGAAAGCCACGGCUAACUACGUG
rnacentral:rRNA from 1 species